ACAGGAGGACUGCAGAUUUGAAGC
rnacentral:piRNA from 1 species